GUGGUCAUCUCUACCCACUGUAAAAAUCGUUCAGUGGUUUGUCUAGUCUUUCGUUAAAAAAACCGUUAUGACUCUCUCUUUGUUUUCAGAAUGACUUCUUUUGUCUCAACUAAAGAGUUACAUUUUUAGUUGUCUCCAAGUGUUUGAACAAAUUUGUGUCACAUAAAGUGUAACAUUUUGAAUUGUGCCUGUUUACAACCAAACGAAAAAUAUCCACCACAGCUGCCAGAGGUAUUCAGUGGUUCGACUUUUUGUGCAACGCCCUAAUAUGCAUAAUCAAUAUGUAUAGAUUUUACAACCCGCCACUGUAUUUGUUUAUUUAUACGUAUUGGAGGGAUUCUCCAUUGCCAGCCAUUUCCUUGGCCACCUGCUAAGCAAUUUGUGGAAUCGUUCUUGAAAGGAUAGUCAACAAAGUUCUAAUCUGUAGAAUACACGGCGGAAAUAAUUCAGAAGUGUGACCAGCAUCAGACCGUUAACCGGCUCUCAGCGGUUUUAAAGGAAUCAGCGGAUUGGCUGAUGUAACAGGGGAUAUGCUUAUUUAUGACAAAUUGACAUUGGUGAUAUAAGAAAAAUUCGACACAACCAUUUCUCAUGAGAAUCUGUUGCCGUAUGAACCAAGAAUGACAGGAACGAAAUUGCGCCCAUCAGAGAGUAUGUGAAAUCACAUCGGUGCCGUUGCAGGAGAGAGAUGUGAAAAUUCGAGCAAGAAUGAAAGCAGAAGAAGAAAUUACAUAAAUAAUAAACGAAUAAAUUACAGAAGUGCGACGUCACACACACAUCGAUUUUGGCAAAGUAUGUUAGCGGUACUAUGGGAUUGGAAGAGUGUAAGAAGAUGUGUCAAAUGGGCAUGAUGGAAAGAAUAAUGAGAUGCCGCCUAUCGUGGUCAUGUUACUUUGCUCUCAGCGAAUUUGACAACGAGUUACGUGAUUUUAGCUCCAGUAUGGCCAGGUUACCUAACUUGAUUUAGCAUUUUUUUUGUUAUCUAGUCUCGGAGUUUUAGUUCUCUCUUCAUGACA